rnacentral:lncRNA from 1 species
UGAUGACGAUGAGGACGAUGACUGGAUAUCUCUUACACUUGCGGCGGGUGGAGGUAGUAAUGAACAGUUUGAGGCAGCAGAUACGGUGAGCCCACAAGCACAAAUCGCAGUGGAAGAGAGAAGGAUGGAACCAGCAGAAACGCUGAACCUACAUGCACAAACCACAGUGGAAGAGAGAAGGAUGGAACCAGCAGACAUGCUGAACCCACAAGCACAAAUCUCAGUGGAAGAGACAAGGAUGGAACCAGCUGAUACCUUGAACCCACAAGCACAAAUUACAGUGGAAGGGACGGAACCAGCAGAUACGUUGAGCCCACAAGCACAAGUUACAGUGGAAGAAAGGAGAAUGGAACCAGCAGAUACGGUGAACCCCCCACAAGCACAAAUUUCAGUGGAAGAAAGA